rnacentral:lncRNA from 1 species
AUGGUACCUGGGAGGGUACGACGGGAAGGGCUUGGCCCACAUGACCAUGUUAGGGUCUUUGUGGCUGGGGAUGAGAGAAGGUCGGGGACCAAUGGUAAUCGACCCGAGAGAAGAAGCCGACGGGAGGGCCAGCCAGCCACGACUGGGCACAGAGGGCCUCGGACGCCAGGCAAAGGAGUGGGGCUUCACCCCAGGACGAUAGGGAUCCCCGGUGGGGUUGUGAGCAGGACAGGGAGCGGAUCAGAGCGGCGCGCGACAGGCCCUUCCGGGCCCCUGCAGAGGGACAGCCGGUGGACAAGAGUGAGGAUGAAACUCAGGACAGGAGCUGAGAGGGUGGUCGUUAGCCCUCGGGCACAAAGACAAGGUAAUAACGUUCGUUCCCUGUUACAGAAAGGCCCUUACUCGCUUCGGCCCCUGGCCCCGGUCCCGGCCCCGCCUCCGCCUCCACCCCCGCCCCCGCGGAAUCCCGAGCCCGCGCGUGCGCAUUGGCAGCAGGGAAUCCCCAGCUCCGCCGCAGAGAGCAGGGGGGGCGUGAGAGGGGAGUUCCGUGCGCGUCCCGCCUGCCCCGCGUGCGUUGCCAGGACGACCGGGCGGGGCCGCGGGGCCACCGGGCGCUCACUGCGCCUGCGCGGAGGUGCUCGCCUUUUGCGCCGGGGCUUUCCCGUCGCGCGCCAGCCGAAGAGGGGAAGCCGCGCGCAGCGCGCAUGCGUCUGCCCCACCCGACCCCCCCCCCCCCGCCACGUCCACCCACCCGCCCACCCUGAGGGCCGGGGAAUCCUCACCCGCCGCGGUGCGGGUGGGGGCUGGGCGGGGAAACCGGCUCAAACCGGAGUGGGGUUUGCCGAGGAGGUGGCGGGGGAGGGAGCGAGAGCGGGGUCUUCCGGAGGUUCCCACUCCGGCCCCCGUCGUUGCCUUAGCAACCGGGCGCGCGGGCCGCAGUGCGCGGGCGGCGGCGGCCUCGGGGAAGCCGGGUGGCUCUGCGCCUGCGCGGGGCUCCUCGCCUGCAGCCGGGGUUCCCCCUCGAGCACCGGGGGGCCGGCGGGGGAGUAG